UACGGAGACCUCAAGCGUUACUCGGAUUCACUGGGCGUAAAGGGUGCGUAGGUGGUACGGUGUGUCAGUAUGUGAAAUCUCGGGGCUUAACUCCGAAACUGCGUCUGAAACUACCGUACUUGAGUCUUGGAGAGGUGAGUGGAAUUCCUGGUGUAGCGGUGAAAUGCAUAGAUAUCAGGAGGAACACCAAUGGCGAAGGCAGCUCACUGGACAAGAACUGACACUGAGGCACGAAAGUGUGGGUAGCGAAAGGG
rnacentral:rRNA from 1 species